rnacentral:tRNA from 1 species
GCUGAAGUGGCGGAAAGGCAGACGCCGGAGACUUAAAAUCUCCCGUUCGAAUAGGACGUGUGGGUUCGACUCCCACCUUCAGCACCA